rnacentral:misc_RNA from 1 species
UACGAAGGGUGCAAGCGUUGUUCGGAAUUAUUGGGCGUAAAGCGCGCGUAGGCGGCUUCUUAAGUCUCGCGGUGAAAGGCCGGGGCUCAACCCCGUGCUUGCCAGGGAUACUGGGGAGCUGGAGACAGGUAGAGGCGAGUGGAAUUCCGGGUGUAGCGGUGGAAUGCGUAGAGAUCCGGAAGAACACCAGAGGCGAAGGCGGCUCGCUGGACCUGAUCUGACGCUGAGGUGCGAAAGCGUGGGGAGCAAACAGG